CGAACGCUGGUGGCGUGCUUAACACAUGCAAGUCGAACGGAAAGGCCCUGCUUUUGUGGGGUGCUCGAGUGGCGAACGGGUGAGUAACACGUGAGUAACCUGCCCUUGACUUUGGGAUGACUUCAGGAAACUGGGGCUAAUACCGGAUAGGAGCUCCUGCUGCAUGGUGGGGGUUGGAAAGUUUCGGCGGUUGGGGAUGGACUCGCGGCUUAUCAGCUUGUUGGUGGGGUAGUGGCUUACCAAGGCUUUGACGGGUAGCCGGCCUGAGAGGGUGACCGGCCACAUUGGGACUGAGAUACGGCCCAGACUCCUACGGGAGGCAGCAGUGGGGAAUAUUGCACAAUGGGCGGAAGCCUGAUGCAGCAACGCCGCGUGCGGGAUGACGGCCUUCGGGUUGUAAACCGCUUUCGCCUGUGACGAAGCGUGAGUGACGGUAAUGGGUAAAGAAGCACCGGCUAACUACGUG
rnacentral:rRNA from 1 species